rnacentral:rRNA from 1 species
UACGUAGGGUGCGAGCGUUGUCCGGAAUUACUGGGCGUAAAGAGCUCGUAGGUGGUUUGUCGCGUUGUUCGUGAAAACUCACAACUCAAUUGUGGGCGUGCGGGCGAUACGGGCAGACUUGAGUACUGCAGGGGAGACUGGAAUUCCUGGUGUAGCGGUGGAAUGCGCAGAUAUCAGGAGGAACACCGGUGGCGAAGGCGGGUCUCUGGGCAGUAACUGACGCUGAGGAACGAAAGCGUGGGUAGCAAACAGG